rnacentral:miRNA from 1 species
CUCGGAGGGCUUGGCC